rnacentral:tRNA from 1 species
GGUAAAAUGGCUGAAUAUAGGUAAUAAAUUGUAAAUUUAUUUAUGGAGUUUGAUCUUCUUUUAUCA